GGAAGAACUUAUGAUGUCAUUUCAGUUCUCUGUUUUGCCCUGCGAGGUGUUACAGGGAGCCCGUAUAUACGAACCACCUAUUUACCCUUCAAGGGUUUGCAUUAAUUAAAGUACAAAGAAAUCAGAAGUUACUAUGUGCUGACUAUUUUGUUCCGAUACCAGAUUAAAUUGACGCAACUUUAACAUGGUAACCCCGACGUUCUGGUAGAGGGACGACUUCGCUGAGUAUUGAUCAGCCAAUUGGACUUCGCUCUCGGAAAACUGUGUGUUUCACAAAGAGUCCGGACAACUAAAAACAGAUUUUGUGUCCAACAGGUGAAUUACAGGAGAAGGUGAUUCACUCAAUCCAACCAGGAGACUGGGUGUGGAUCCAGUCCCUGAGGAGAAAAAACUGGAAGCAGUCCUGUUGGGAGGGCCCAUAGCAGGUUCUGUUAAACCAUUGCCUUUGCCAUUAGAAAAGCUGAGAGAGUAACUUGGGUCCACGUUAUCCACUGCAAGAAGGUAUGUACACAUAUCCACUGCUGAUCACACACAGAGUUAGGAGAAGAACCGAGUACCAACAGGGUCCGGGGGUUACCUCCUUUACGAAGAUUUCCUAUCCCGACCGUUCAUCACUGUGUGUGCUCCUAGAGGUGUGAGUAUGGGGUGGUACCUAGCAGAUCGACUAAGGGCAGGAGCGGGUUGGCGGUUUUUGGGAAGAGUAGAGACUCUGAGCUGCAUCAUAGUCUAAUCUUUCUGAAACAUUCAGAUCCACCACCUUCCGGUACUAAUCAUAGGAUACCGUUGUCAUUGAGAAGAAGUAGAGGAUAAACUAUAUAAUACACUGAUGAGUGACAUACAGAAUAAGGAACCAAAGAAGAUCGAGAUGUAGAAUUUAAGGUAAACAUUAAACAAUUUCCUGGGGAAGCAGACAACUGUACAGGAAUUGGGGUUGGCCAGAUUGAAGUACUCAGCCAACCCACCUCGGUUCACCUAAAUUCCUGAUGAGCACCAGUGUUAUAGAUACAAGAAUGGCACCGAGAACUAAGAUGAUUUUAAUGGCUGAACGUAAUCGUUAAUGUGACUGACUUAGGUUUGAAAGAUGAAUAGAAAAUGUUUAACCUCACAGAACCUAUAACUGAUGAAGGGUGGGCUAGUACCAGCAAAGGACGCAUACGACAGAAAUGACCACAAAGGGUGGUUAGGAACUUGCGCCCUGGGGUUAUAGGUCCAACCAAGUCGAGUUAGUCAUCAGAGGCCAGUUAUAGGAGGCUAAAGUAGGCACAGGAGGAGUUUUGAUCAGGAUGGGAGUGGCAAUAGCAUCCCUGAGGAUGCUAUUGGCAUCCUCAGGGAAGUUCCAGAUGAAUACAAAGCUAUGAAUCAAAUAUGUGAAGGCUUUAACACUACAUUAUUUUGGUAGUUGACAAUAAAUGAAAAUGUGGAUUGGAUUAAUGACAUCUUUUAUAAUCAACAGAGAUUCAUGAAUGAAACCGGGGAUGCAGUAAAGAGGUUCUCUGACCAAUUAUCCGCCACCUCCCUCAUGACCUGGUAAAAUAGACUGACUCACGAUAUGUUACUGGCAAAAGAGGAUGGUGUAGGUAGAAUGAUUAGGUUCAUUGCUGUACGUACAUUCCUGAUAACACAGCUCAUGUUUGGGAAAUGGAAAAGUGUUGCAAGAACUGUAUUAUGGGCUGCUUUCACCUGUAUGAGUGUGUUUGUAUUGUGUGGAUGUUGUCUCGUCCCAUGUGUGAGAGGUUUAAUCACCAGGACUCUCGAGAGAUCGAUGACGCAGCAGAUGGUGAGAUACGGACGGAGUCAAAGUUCAGAUCAGUGGGACGACAAAUACCUACUGCCGAGCCUGGUGGAGGAUUCAUUCAAUUAUGAGGAGCCCAUGUUAGAUGAGACCAUCUUUAGAGUUUCCUGAAUUAGUUUGAUUUUGUGUGAAAUUGCUGAAUCCAAUAAAAAUAGAUGUGUUAUAAUGUAUGUGAAAUAUUUAGCCAAUCGGGUGGAUGUAAUGAAAGGUUUGACUAAAAGAUUUCACUCAGAAACCUUAUAACCUGUUGAAAUGUAUUCAAAAUAAGGCUAUAAUAAUGGGUUAAAAACUAUAUUCCAAUACUGUGUGAGUAAGACACUGUUACCAGAAUGAGCAGGGCAGAGUUGAUAAGACGACCUUGGGAAGGGAACAGGAGAAGAAGCCUCCCUAAGUUAGGGAGAGUAACAACGGCCUGGGAACGGCUAGUGGGCAGGAGAUAGAAGACAGGAGGCAAGGUUGAUAAGGAAUGUAUGUGUACUGUGGGAAAAAUACAGCCGCCUAAAGCUGGGUUGAGUUCUUUACUGAUGUGUGUGUAACAGAGAUUUGUUAACUAUACUCGCACUGCACUGACAGGUAUGGCUGAGCAACUAGAGGCUACCACUAGAACCGCUAGACAAAAUAGAUAGGAGUUGGAUAUGAUAUUGGCUAAUAAUGGUGGGUGUAUAAAACGUUUGGUGAACAAUGCUGUACUUUUAUCCCUAAUAACACUAGCCCUGAUGGUAGCAUUACCAAAGCCCUACUGGGACUUGACAAGCUAUCUGCUGAAAUGAAGGGUGUAGCGGGGGUAGACGAGGGGAAUUGGCUAACCAUCAUUUUUGGUAAGUACACAUCUAUGGUGGUUACUGGAUUCCUGACCCUAGUGCUUGUGUUCUUAUUAUUGUUGUGUUGUGUUGCCUGUAUAAUCCCUUGCUUGAGAAAAUAUCUUACAGAAGUUGUCAGAGCAACCGGAAUGAUGUCUUUGAUGGAAGUGACCCCAGUGGAUACUGAAUCAACCUCUGGGCAAAAGACGGGUCUGUCUGAGGACGAUCCUUGGUUUACUGUUGAGGAAGUGGUCGAAUAAAGUUUGUCUAAAAUGUACUCAUAUGUAAUGUAGUGGCAGGUGGAUGUGAAGGUUUUAAGUAUUGGGACAAAAAGUCUGUCCCAUACAUGUUAGGUGUAGCCACUGUCGCAAAAAGGUCUUCUUUUUAUACGUUUUUUAAAUAAUAUGUUCUGAAUUUAUCCUGUGUACUAUUUGUCUUUCCUUAUGUGAAGGUUUGAAGUUCCUGGGUGACUGGUAGUCAACCUAGUACAGGUUAGGUGUAGUCGGAAGGACGUGAGGGUUUUUAACUAAUCAUUUAAUCCUUAAAUUGGUAAUUUACAAUUGUGUUGAGUGACACCCUAGGGGGUGUCAAAAGGGGGAAUCUCAAAAUUUCCCUGAAAUUUUAAGAACUUAUGUAUUCACACCUAUCAGGUGUGAAAAGGGGGAUUGUUGGGUUUUAUUUCACUUAUUAGAUGUGAUGCAUUACCAUUUACAGUAGAUGUAGGCCUAAGUAUGAACGGAUUGUAAUGCACUAAGAGGUUUAUAUUGUAUUAACAUAGAUUGAGCAACAUAUAAUAGACAUGACUAACUGGAGGGUUGCUGGCUAGUAGGAGUGUAGGCUGAGUAGACUUGUGACACACACACACAAUGCCUGGUUGUGGGGCCGCUCAAGGACAGGUGUACGGGAGGGGCUGGUAGAAUGGAAGAUAGCUGUAGCAUAAAAACAGGCACUGUCCUUGGGUGUCUGACUCUCGGGUACACACACGAAGAUAAGCUAGAAGACAACUAUGCCUGGCAACAAAGAUGCGUCUAGAGGCUGGGACCAGCCUGCACGCCAACGAUAGGCUGGAGUAAGUCUAAACCACACCCAAGCCUCUACUAUGACAGGCCCUCAGGGAGAGGGAACUACGUCUGUCAAGAAGUAUUUAAGGAAGAACUUAUGAUGUCAUUUCAGUUCUCUGUUUUGCCCUGCGAGGUGUUACAGGGAGCCCGUAUAUACGAACCAGCUAUUUACCCUUCAAGGGUUUGCAUUAAUUAAAGUACAAAGAAAUCAGAA